CGUGAUCCGCCCUUCGGGGUGGUGAAAGUGGCGCACGGGUGAGUAACGCGUGGAUAAUCUGCCCGAGGAUUUGGGAUAACAUCUCGAAAGGGGUGCUAAUACCGAAUAAGCCCACGGGGUCUACGGAUCUUGCGGGAAAAGGGGGGGACCUUCGGGCCUCCUGUCCUUGGAUGAGUCUGCGUACCAUUAGCUAGUUGGUGGGGUAAUGGCCUACCAAGGCGACGAUGGUUAGCUGGUCUGAGAGGAUGAUCAGCCACACUGGAACUGAGACACGGUCCAGACUCCUACGGGAGGCAGCAGUGGGGAAUUUUGCGCAAUGGGGGAAACCCUGACGCAGCAACGCCGCGUGGGUGAUGAAGGCCUUCGGGUCGUAAAGCUCUGUCUGGAGGGAAGAAAUGAUUGGGAGCUAAUACCUCUUGAUCUUGACGGUACCUCUGAAGGAAGCACCGGCUAACUCCGUGCCAGCAGCCGCGGUAAUACGGAGGGUGCAAGCGUUGUUCGGAAUUAUUGGGCGUAAAGCGCGUGUAGGC
rnacentral:rRNA from 1 species